rnacentral:pre_miRNA from 1 species
UAUAUACUCCCUCCGUCCCAAAUUACUUGUCGCUGAAAUGGAUGUAUCUAUAACUAAAAUACAUCUAGAUACAUCCAUACGUGCGACAAGUAAUUCGGAACGGAGGGAGUAUGUU